rnacentral:rRNA from 1 species
UACGUAGGGGGCAAGCGUUGUCCGGAAUUACUGGGCGUAAAGCGCGUGUAGGCGGGACGACAAGUCCGGCGUGAAAGGCUCGGGCUCAACCCGAGACGGCUGUUGGAAACUGUCGUUCUUGAGGGUCGAAGAGGAGAGUGGAAUUCCUGGUGUAGCGGUGAAAUGCGCAGAGAUCAGGAGGAACACCCAUGGCGAAGGCAGCUCUCUGGUCGACCUCUGACGCUGAGACGCGAAAGCGUGGGGAGCGAACGGG